UACGUAGGGUGCGAGCGUUGUCCGGAAUUAUUGGGCGUAAAGGGCUCGUAGGCGGUCUGUUGCGUCGGGCGUGAAAACUCAGGGCUUAACCCUGAGCCUGCUUCCGAUACGGGCAGACUAGAGGUAUGCAGGGGAGAACGGAAUUCCUGGUGUAGCGGUGAAAUGCGCAGAUAUCAGGAGGAACACCGGUGGCGAAGGCGGGUCUCUGGGCCGAAACUGACGCUGAGGAGCGAAAGCGUGGGGAGCAAACAGG
rnacentral:rRNA from 1 species